rnacentral:lncRNA from 1 species
GCCAGGGCAGUGGUAACUCUUCUAUUAGCUAGAUCUUUUUUGUGCUCCUUGAUCCUCUUUUGUAGCGUUCUUGUAGUAACACCUAUCUAAGCUUUAGAUUGUUGUUUAUUGGUGAUCUUGGCUGGAAUUUUAUAAACGUCCGAUUUCUGAUGAUCACUUCUUCUAUCUUUUUCAUUUCUAAUCUUGUUAAAAUCCGUGGGUGCUCGAAGAUAUGCCAGUCUUAUUUUGGCUUUCUUCAAAAGCCUUCUAAUGGAGCUAUGGUUUGCAAUAGAAUAUGGCAGAGGGAGGAAGGUUUUAUUAUCAGUGUGGCAUAUGUUUGGAGCAGGUGUCACUUCAGCUUCUUGUUUCUUCAAAGACUGCUCUACCUUUGCACAUAUGUUUUUCAUAAAUCCUUUUUCAUAUCCAUGCUGGUAGCCUAAAUUGUAGAUAUAUUCCAUUUCUACACUCAGAAGCCCUCUAGCGGUCGGGGGAUUUUAGUCAGAAG